AGAGUUUGAUCCUGGCUCAGAGCGAACGCUGGCGGCAGGCUUAACACAUGCAAGUCGAGCGGGCGUAGCAAUACGUCAGCGGCAGACGGGUGAGUAACGCGUGGGAACGUACCUUUUGGUUCGGAACAACACAGGGAAACUUGUGCUAAUACCGGAUAAGCCCUUACGGGGAAAGAUUUAUCGCCGAAAGAUCGGCCCGCGUCUGAUUAGCUAGUUGGUGAGGUAAUGGCUCACCAAGGCGACGAUCAGUAGCUGGUCUGAGAGGAUGAUCAGCCACAUUGGGACUGAGACACGGCCCAAACUCCUACGGGAGGCAGCAGUGGGGAAUAUUGGACAAUGGGGGCAACCCUGAUCCAGCCAUGCCGCGUGAGUGAUGAAGGCCCUAGGGUUGUAAAGCUCUUUUGUGCGGGAAGAUAAUGACGGUACCGCAAGAAUAAGCCCCGGCUAACUUCGUGCCAGCAGCCGCGGUAAUACGAAGGGGGCUAGCGUUGCUCGGAAUCACUGGGCGUAAAGGGUGCGUAGGCGGGUCUUUAAGUCAGGGGUGAAAUCCUGGAGCUCAACUCCAGAACUGCCUUUGAUACUGAGGAUCUUGAGUUCGGGAGAGGUGAGUGGAACUGCGAGUGUAGAGGUGAAAUUCGUAGAUAUUCGCAAGAACACCAGUGGCGAAGGCGGCUCACUGGCCCGAUACUGACGCUGAGGCACGAAAGCGUGGGGAGCAAACAGGAUUAGAUACCCUAGUAGUCC
rnacentral:rRNA from 1 species